UACGGAGGAUGCAAGCGUUAUCCGGAUUCAUUGGGUUUAAAGGGUGCGCAGGCGGAUUGAUAAGUCAGGGGUGAAAUCCCACAGCUCAACUGUGGAACUGCCCUUGAUACUGUUAGUCUAGAGUAUAGUUGAAGUUGGCGGAAUGUGUCAUGUAGCGGUGAAAUGCUUAGAUAUGACACAGAACACCGAUCGCGAAGGCAGCUAGCUAAGCUAUAACUGACGCUCAUGCACGAAAGCGUGGGGAUCAAACAGGAUUAGAUACCCUGGUAGUCCACGCUGUAAACGAUGAUUACUCGAUGUUGGCGAUACACAGUCAGCGUCUAAGGGAAACCAAUAAGUAAUCCACCUGGGGAGUACGAUCGCAAGAUUGAA
rnacentral:rRNA from 1 species